rnacentral:rRNA from 1 species
AUGCAAAAGGAAGGUCCCCAACUAGAGAUCUGGGAGCAACGCGACGACCGAGGAAACAUUAGCAGUACUUCAGAAUGGUUGUGUACUCGAACGGUCGAGUUAAAACAACCCGUAAAGGAGAAUGAAAUAAGAGAAUUCUUUGUCUUGAGAGAGAUGUGUGGUGCAUUACUCAUCAGCGACAACUAUGGGCUUGUUUACACUGCCGAUAUGGAGACUGGAACGAUGAUGGAGCUAGUAGAUUGGCCUUGCAAGCGCUCCCUGUGCCACUGUGAUUCCAUGCCCUUGCAGAUUGAUUGGCCGACGAUCUUCGUUUCUGGGCUUACCAAAUAA